AGUGAACGCUGGCGGUAGGCCUAACACAUGCAAGUCGAACGGCAGCACAGUAAGAGCUUGCUCUUACGGGUGGCGAGUGGCGGACGGGUGAGGAAUACAUCGGCAUCUACUUUUUCGUGGGGGAUAACGUAGGGAAACUUACGCUAAUACCGCAUACGACCUACGGGUGAAAGCAGGGGAUAUUCGGACCUUGCGCGAUUCAAUGAGCCGAUGUCGGAUUAGCUAGUUGGCGGGGUAAAGGCCCACCAAGGCGACGAUCCGUAGCUGGUCUGAGAGGAUGAUCAGCCACACUGGAACUGAGACACGGUCCAGACUCCUACGGGAGGCAGCAGUGGGGAAUAUUGGACAAUGGGCGCAAGCCUGAUCCAGCCAUACCGCGUGGGUGAAGAAGGCCUUCGGGUUGUAAAGCCCUUUUGUUGGGAAAGAAAAGCAGCAGGUUAAUACCCCGCUGUUCUGACGGUACCCAAAGAAUAAGCACCGGCUAACUUCGUG
rnacentral:rRNA from 1 species